rnacentral:lncRNA from 1 species
CUUGAAGUGAACACUGUUUAGGCACAGCUGAGAGACUGGAAAAUACUGCUUUCCAAAUGGGGACUUGCAUGGCAGAUAGUUACAUCCUGGGUGUGGAUAUAAUAUACCAUGGGCAGAAAAGUACAGGGAUUGCCUUUUGCCAGGGACUUAUGCAACCACAUCUGUAGUUACCCACCAUUUCCUCCCUGACCCCCCUUGGAGUGGGUUUCUAUCCAAAGGUGUAAAAUUUACAAAUCCCAAAGAACUGCAAUCUAGGCUUUACCUAGAGAAACUUUUAGACUGUUCAUGCCAUAAAUAUCUCUUAGAGGCUGCCUGACGUCAGAGGAUUUGGAGAGAGAGGCUGGUCUGAAACUGAAAACAGCAGCAGUUCCAGUCUCACUGCAACAGUAAGCCAGCGAGAGGAACAGCAGAGGCAUUUCUCUAUGUGGAUUAUAGGGCUGCAGAACAGGGAGGAACUGCACAGAGACACAGGCACUACAGUAUCCCGAAGCCAGCUUGGCAGCACAAGGAUUCAGGUUUGGCUUGGUUGCUUCUCCCAAAGAAGACCAUCUCUACUGUCACAGCAGCUGUACUAAGUCAUCUGAAGGUGAACUUUUCCUACAAGACGAGGCCUUGAACUGAACACAGAGUACUAUACAGAGAGAGAGAAGAACAAAUCAAACUACACAGAUCAUCCAGGUUAGUUCUGAUUUACAGGAUGGGCAUGGGAGUGGAAAUCCUAAAAAUACUGGGAAUGGGAUUUUAGCUAUCACU